rnacentral:rRNA from 1 species
UACUAUGUUACGACUUAUCUCGAAUAAAUAACGAGAGUGACGGGCGAUAUGUACACAUUUCAGAAACUUAAUCAUAAUUACCAUCUAAAAUAAAAAUUACAUUCAAAUCCAAUUUCAUAUCAAAAUUACAAUUAACAAUCCAAAUAUAAAUAAUAAUGUAACCCAUAACCACUUAAUUAUAAAUUGCACCUUGACCUGAAAUAAAAUAAAAUAAAAAAACAAGAAAAUUAAACAACUCUAAAAAGACUUUCAAAGCAACGGCGGUAUACAAAUAAAUAUAAAAAUCAAGUAAGGUCCAACGAGGAUUAUCGAUUAAAUACAGGUUCCUCUAAAUAGAAUAAAAUACUGCCAAAUUCUUUGAGUUUCAAGAAAAUAACAAUUACUACUCAAGUUAAAUAAUUAACAUAAAAAAUAAUAGGGUAUCUAAUCCUAGUUUUUA